UGGGGAAUGUUGGACAAUGGGCGAAAGCCUGAUCCAGCCAUGCCGCGUGUGUGAAGAAGGCCUUAUGGUUGUAAAGCACUUUAAGCGAGGAGGAGGGUACUGGUAUUAAUACUACCAGGUACUGGACGUUACUCGCAGAAUAAGCACCGGCUAACUCUGUGCCAGCAGCCGCGGUAAUACAGAGGGUGCGAGCGUUAAUCGGAUUUACUGGGCGUAAAGCGCGCGUAGGCGGCUAAUUAAGUCAAAUGUGAAAUCCCCGAGCUUAACUUGGGAAUUGCAGUCGAUACUGGUUAGCUAGAGUGUGGGAGAGGAUGGUAGGAUUCCAGGUGUAGCGGUGAAAAGCGUAGAGAUCUGGAGGAAUACCGAUGGCGAAGGCGACCACCUGGGCUCAUACUGACACUGAGGUGCGAAAGCGGGGGGAGCAAACAGG
rnacentral:rRNA from 1 species